GGGGCGAGUGGGGCUAUAUGCAGUCGAGCGGACAGAAGGGAGCUUGCUCCCGGAUGUUAGCGGCGGACGGGUGAGUAACACGUGGGUAACCUGCCUGUAAGACUGGGAUAACUCCGGGAAACCGGAGCUAAUACCGGAUAGUUCCUUGAACCGCAUGGUUCAAGGAUGAAAGACGGUUUCGGCUGUCACUUACAGAUGGACCCGCGGCGCAUUAGCUAGUUGGUGAGGUAAUGGCUCACCAAGGCGACGAUGCGUAGCCGACCUGAGAGGGUGAUCGGCCACACUGGGACUGAGACACGGCCCAGACUCCUACGGGAGGCAGCAGUAGGGAAUCUUCCGCAAUGGACGAAAGUCUGACGGAGCAACGCCGCGUGAGUGAUGAAGGUUUUCGGAUCGUAAAGCUCUGUUGUUAGGGAAGAACAAGUGCGAGAGUAACUGCUCGCACCUUGACGGUACCUAACCAGAAAGCCACGGCUAACUACGUGCCAGCAGCCGCGGUAAUACGUAGGUGGCAAGCGUUGUCCGGAAUUAUUGGGCGUAAAGGGCUCGCAGGCGGUUUCUUAAGUCUGAUGUGAAAGCCCCCGGCUCAACCGGGGAGGGUCAUUGGAAACUGGGAAACUUGAGUGCAGAAGAGGAGAGUGGAAUUCCACGUGUAGCGGUGAAAUGCGUAGAGAUGUGGAGGAACACCAGUGGCGAAGGCGACUCUCUGGUCUGUAACUGACGCUGAAGAGCGAAAGCGUGGGGAGCGAACAGGAUUAGAUACCCUGGUAGUCCACGCCGUAAACGAUGAGUGCUAAAUGUUUAGGGGGUUCCGCCCCCUAGUGCUGCAGCUAACGCAUUAGGCACUCCGCCUGGNG
rnacentral:rRNA from 1 species